rnacentral:tRNA from 1 species
GUUUCUAUCGUGUAAUGGUUAGCACUCUGGACUUUGAAUCCAGCGACCUGAGUUCAAAUCUCGGUAGGACCU